GCAUCUAUUAGAAUGAAAGCCCUGAGCCUAAAUCAGGGCCCUACCGAAAAAGGUGCUGGGCCUUCUGCAAUGAACACAGAAAUGGACCCUCAGCAGGCAGGAAGGGAGGGAGAAGAAGGAGGAAGAAAUUCUCAAAGUCCAUUUAAAAAUGUUGCUGGACCCAAUCUCACACCUGAGCAGCAAGGAAGGCUGGGGCUUCCUGGCAGGAGCAGAUUACACCACCGAGAGUCACAGUGACCGACGUGAAAGUCUGUGCUGCAGUUAUGCUCAUCUGCAGAAACCCAGACUCCCCGCAUUCUAGAAUAAUUUGAUCCACACCAUCUGGCAGCUUGAAAGAAGAGGAAAAAGAAGAAGAGGAAGGAGAAACAACAGCCAUGUAGCAUGAAUGUCAUUCCCAAGCUAAGUUAUGCGCUCUCAUUUGCUUCAUGUGAUAUGAGCCAAAUUUAAACAUGUCAACAUCUCAACAAUUGCUGAGUUUUCAAGCGCUAUACGAUGCAUCUGGCGGGCGCUCAUUGAAUGUUCUUCAAUGAUGGUGAUGUAAACGUAUUUACUAAAAUACAGCGUAUUGAAAAAAUAAAUCGUAUAUUGUGAUGUC